ACCAAACAACCCCUGAAGUGUUCCGUUCAGAUUGUUCCUGUUCCCAGUUAAAACUUGACCCUGCCCCAAAACGCCUCUGGUUGAGCGGUCAAAGUUCGAACCGAAACCAAGAACGGAUCCUAAAAUCCGACUGAUUUAGGUCCGCCAAUUUCAAACGGCGCCGGUCUUCUUCUUCCGGCGAAUCGACAGAGACAGCACCUUCCUCCACCAUCUUCGACAAAAUCGAGUAGUAGUGAAGUUGAAAGAA